UACGUAGGUGGCAAGCGUUGUCCGGAAUUAUUGGGCGUAAAGCGCGCGCAGGCGGUCCUUUAAGUCUGAUGUGAAAGCCCACGGCUCAACCGUGGAGGGUCAUUGGAAACUGGGGGACUUGAGUACAGAAGAGAAGAGUGGAAUUCCACGUGUAGCGGUGAAAUGCGUAGAUAAUCUGGAGGAACACCGGUGGCGAAGGCGGCAUCCUGGACCGGCAUUGACGCUGAGGCGCGAAAGCCAGGGGAGCAAACGGGG
rnacentral:rRNA from 1 species